rnacentral:rRNA from 1 species
GAUGAACGCUGGCGGCGUGCCUAACACAUGCAAGUCGAGCGAACCCUUCGGGGUGAGCGGCGGACGGGUGAGUAACGCGUGGGUAACCUGCCCUAUACACACGGAUAACGUACCGAAAGGUACGCUAAUACGAGAUGAUAUAAGAAGUUCGCAUGGAUUUCUUAUCAAAGCUCCGGCGGUAUAGGAUGGACCCGCGUCUGAUUAGCUAGUUGUGAAGGUAAUGGCUUACCAAGGCGACGAUCAGUAGCCGACCUGAGAGGGUGAUCGGCCACAUUGGAACUGAGACACGGUCCAAACUCCUACGGGAGGCAGCAGUGGGGAAUAUUGCACAAUGGGCGAAAGCCUGAUGCAGCAACGCCGCGUGAGCGAUGAAGGCCUUCGGGUCGUAAAGCUCUGUCCUCAAGGAAGAUAAUGACGGUACUUGAGGAGGAAGCCCCGGCUAACUACGUGCCAGCAGCCGCCGUAAAAC